GAUGAACGCUGGCGGCGUGCCUAAUACAUGCAAGUCGAGCGAACAGACGAGGAGCUUGCUCCUCUGACGUUAGCGGCGGACGGGUGAGUAACACGUUGAUAACCUACCUAUAAGACUGGGAUAACUUCGGGAAACCGGAGCUAAUACCGGAUAAUAUAUUGAACCGCAUGGUUCAAUAGUGAAAGACGGUUUUGCUGUCACUUAUAGAUGGAUCCGCGCCGCAUUAGCUAGUUGGUAAGGUAACGGCUUACCAAGGCAACGAUGCGUAGCCGACCUGAGAGGGGGAUCGGCCACACUGGAACUGAGACACGGUCCAGACUCCUACGGGAGGCAGCAGUAGGGAAUCUGCCGCAAUGGGCGAAAGCCUGACGGAGCAACGCCGCGUGAGUGAUGAAGGUCUUCGGAUCGUAAAACUCUGUUAUUAGGGAAGAACAAAUGUGUAAGUAACUAUGCACGUCUUGACGGUACCUAAUCAGAAAGCCACGGCUAACUACGUG
rnacentral:rRNA from 1 species